GUCUGUAUUUCCGCCGGCGCGAAACGAGCGUAGCUUCCUUGUCGUGUGGCCUCAGUCCUUCGCCGUCCCUCGCCGUCCUUCGCCAUCGCACGCCACCGCACCCCAUCUCUCGAAAUCUGCAGACAUCUUGAUUUUUCCCACGCUGUCUGUCAGGUCUCCGCCGCCACUCGACGCCAGGGCGCCGGGUGAGUCCACAGCAGGGCGCAUGGUCGGCUCCACUCUCACCAUCGGGGGAAACUGAGGCCCCGGGGAAGGCGGCCAGAGAGGUCAGGCCCUGUCCUUGGUGCAGUGUCUCGUCCUCUUUGCCGGAGUGAGCCCCCCAGGAUUCGCGUGUCCUCGGGAAAGACACUGGCAGGCCUUGUGGGCUGUGCUGCACCUCGGACGGCUUCGCACCAGCCAGCGCCCUCUCUCUCCUGCAGCACUCUGAUCUGCACCCCCUGAGGGGCUUCCACUGUCCGCGGGGUGAGAAUGCCCCUGGGAGUGUCACAUGACUGCCGCCCCAUGUGUGUGAGAGGCGUCCUCUGGGAGAGCAUGGAUCCUGAGGUCCCAGGAUUGUCAGCUGACCUCUGUCCUGUGUGCCCAGUGGCCCCAGGUGACGUGUCUUCAAGAAGAGGCUGAGCUGCGGUGCUUGUAAGGGUCUCAUUCUGUCACCCAGGCUGGAGUGCAGUGGUGCAAUGAUGGCUCACUGCAGCCUCGACCUGGGCUCAAGUGAUCCUCCACCUCAGCUUCCUGAGUAGCUGGGACCACAGAGUCAUGUGCUGUUCCUGGGGCUUGGAUGAUGUAGGGGAAGCAAGGUGAAAGUGGUAUCCCGUGGUUCCACGUUCUGUCCUGCUGUGGGGCUGUCCCUCACAUGCUUUCAGUGGCUGUUGCAGAGGAAGAGCCUCCGGAAAUCUGCGUGGGUCUCAGCCUUAGAUCCAAGGACAGUCCAAGGAAGUCCUAAGACCAUGGAGUUGGUGAUCUGGGAUCUGGGUUUGCUGAUAUUUCUCACCGUGAAUCUCUUGGUGGUGUUUGUGGGCACGAGAGGGGCAGAGAAUGGAGAGUGAGGCUACCACAUGAAGCGUCACCAGAGCUGCUCCCUGCUGCCUGCUCAGAGCACCCCGGAUCCACUGUUCAAUCUGCACAAGAUUCGGGGUCCAGACAUGGGAGACUUCAGCUGCCUCAGAGGACCGUGGACAGGGAAGGCCAGCCUCGCAUCCCUCUGUCCAUGCCUGGAAUGACUUUAAUAACCAAGAGUUUUAUUUUUGAAUUUGUAGCUGUCGUUCACUUUUUACCCACCCAUUCAAUAAACCUUACAGAAUUGCUCCA
rnacentral:lncRNA from 1 species